CCUACGGUGAGCAGCAGUCGAGAAUCAUUCACAAUGGGGGAAACCCUGAUGGUGCGACGCCGCGUGGGGGAAUGAAGGUCUUCGGAUUGUAAACCCCUGUCAUGUGGGAGCAAAUUAAAAAGAUAGUACCACAAGAGGAAGCGACGGCUAACUCUGUGCCAGCAGCCGCGGUAAUACAGAGGUCUCAAGCGUUGUUCGGAAUCACUGGGCGUAAAGCGUGCGUAGGCUGUUUCGUAAGUCGUGUGUGAAAGGCGCGGGCUCAACCCGCGGACGGCACAUGAUACUGCGAGACUAGAGUAAUGGAGGGGGAACCGGAAUUCUCGGUGUAGCAGUGAAAUGCGUAGAUAUCGAGAGGAACACUCGUGGCGAAGGCGGGUUCCUGGACAUUAACUGACGCUGAGGCACGAAGGCCAGGGGAGCGAAAGGGAUUAGAUACCCUGGUAGUC
rnacentral:rRNA from 1 species